AAAUACAAACGGAGGGCGACCUUCAGUCUAGCAAAUACUUCCUGCCUGGUUAUUUCUGAGGGACAGCAGCUCUACAGCUGGUUUUGCUUCUGUUUAGAUAUCAAACCAUAGAUGGGGCAAGAAUUCAAGGGGCAAGUUUCUCGUGAAACACGUCUUCUGUAGAACGUGAAUAAACUUCAGAGCAAGUCCACUCAGUGAUCACUGCUAUAAUGCCAGAUGAUGCUUCCUCCAGGAAACACUGCUGCCCCUUCCAGCUUCAGUCACGGCCAGCAAUGGCGCGCCGCAUCCUGCUCACGCUUUGAAUCUCUACGACUUCUCCUGCUGCUCAGAGAAAGCCCUCGGCUUUUCGGGGCCUGUGUGAUUAGAUGAGGUCCACCUGGAGAACCACUGUCUUAAGCUCACAAGAAAGCUCCUGACCAGGCUAACCUGUGAAUGACUGCUGCUGCUGCUGCUGCUAAGUUGCUUCAGUCGUGUCCGACUCUGUGCGACCCCACAGACAGCAGCCCACCAGGCUCCCCCGUCCCUGGGAUUCUCCAGGCAAGAACACUG